rnacentral:rRNA from 1 species
UGGGGAAUAUUGCACAAUGGGCGCAAGCCUGAUGCAGCCAUGCCGCGUGUAUGAAGAAGGCCCUCGGGUUGUAAAGUACUUUCAGCGGGGAGGAAGGGAGUAAAGUUAAUACCUUUGCUCAUUGACGUUACCCGCAGAAGAAGCACCGGCUAACUCCGUGCCAGCAGCCGCGGUAAUACGGAGGGUGCAAGCGUUAAUCGGAAUUACUGGGCGUAAAGCGCACGCAGGCGGUUUGUUAAGUCAGAUGUGAAAUCCCCGGGCUCAACCUGGGAACUGCAUCUGAUACUGGCAAGCUUGAGUCUCGUAGAGGGGGGUAGAAUUCCAGGUGUAGCGGUGAAAUGCGUAGAGAUCUGGAGGAAUACCGGUGGCGAAGGCGGCCCCCUGGACGAAGACUGACGCUCAGGUGCGAAAGCGUGGGGAGCAAACAGG